CCCGCACCGCGCCUCGAGGCCGGAAGCGCGCGCGCUCUGCCGUUCCCGGCGGUCUGUGAAGUUCCCGGAGCCCCGGUCCUGCCGCGGGCUCGCGCUUGUGCUCGCGCUCGUUACCGGAGUUGGCGGCCGCUGCGCGCGCUCGUUGCCCAACCCGGUCCCCGCCCCCAGACACGCGGGCUCUUCGGGCACCACAGCCAUGUGCUCGUUAGCGUCAGGCGCUACCGGCGGCCGGGGCGCUGUGGAGGAUGAGGAGGACCUGCCAGAACUGUCGGACAGCGGGGACGAGGCCGCCUGGGAGGAUGAGGACGAUGCUGAUCUCCCACACGACAAGCAGCAGACCCCCUGCCUGUUCUGUAACAGGUUAUUCACAUCUGCUGAAGAAACAUUUUCACACUGUAAGUCUGAGCAUCAAUUUAAUAUUGACAGCAUGGUUCAUAAACAUGGACUUGAAUUUUAUGGAUACAUUAAGCUAAUAAAUUUUAUUAGACUUAAGAAUCCUACAGUUGAGUAUAUGAAUUCCAUAUACAAUCCAGUGCCUUGGGAGAAGGAAGAGUAUUUGAAGCCGGUAUUAGAAGAUGACCUUUUACUUCAAUUUGAUGUAGAAGAUCUUUAUGAACCGGUGUCAGUACCCUUCUCAUACCCCAAUGGACUCAGUGAAAAUACAUCUGUUCUUGAAAAAUUGAAACAUAUGGAAGCCAGGGCACUGUCUGCUGAAGCCGCCUUAGCUAGAGCACGUGAGGAUCUGCAAAAAAUGAAACAAUUUGCUCAGGAUUUUGUGAUGAACGCAGAUGUCAGAACCUGCUCGUCAUCUACUAGUGCCAUUGCGGACCUCCAGGAGGAUGAGGAUUGUGUUUAUUUCAGCUCAUACGGGCAUUAUGGGAUACAUGAAGAAAUGCUUAAGGACAAAAUACGAACAGAAAGCUACCGAGAUUUCAUAUACCAAAAUCCGCAUAUCUUCAAAGACAAGGUAGUUUUGGAUGUUGGAUGUGGAACUGGAAUUCUCUCUAUGUUUGCUGCUAAAGCUGGGGCGAAGAAGGUUCUGGGAGUUGAUCAAUCUGAAAUACUUUACCAGGCAAUGGAUAUUAUAAGACUAAAUAAACUUGAAGAUACUAUUACACUAAUUAAAGGAAAGAUCGAAGAAGUUCAUCUUCCUGUAGAAAAAGUGGAUGUUAUUAUAUCUGAGUGGAUGGGUUACUUUCUUCUGUUUGAGUCUAUGUUAGAUUCUGUCCUUUAUGCAAAGAACAAAUACUUGGCAAAAGGAGGCUCAGUCUACCCUGACAUUUGCACUAUCAGCCUUGUAGCAGUGAGCGAUAUGAAUAAACAUGCUGAGAGAAUUGCUUUUUGGGAUGACGUCUAUGGCUUCAAGAUGUCCUGCAUGAAGAAAGCUGUUAUUCCAGAAGCUGUUGUGGAAGUUUUAGAUCCGGAGACUCUCAUUUCAGAACCUUGUGGUAUUAAGUAUAUAGAUUGCCAUACAACGUCUAUCUCAGAUUUGGAGUUUUCGUCAGAUUUUACCCUGAAAAUUACAAAGACAUCCAUGUGCACGGAAAUAUCUAGAAUAGGUAUAUCUGAAGCCACAGACUGAAUAAGAGGAGAAUGGAUGGAAGAUUUCUUUUGAGGGAAAUGAAAUGUUUUAAAAUUAGAUUGUAAUGAUGGUUACACAGCUUGAUUCUGCUGCAUGGAUUACAAGCACUCUAUCUCCAUGCUUGGAUAAACUCCAUCAAAAGCACAUUAUCCUCCUACUUCUGUGGCCAGCUGCCUAAUUGUAUCUGCUGUAACCACAUGCUGUUGGAACAUGAUACCAAUGAAGAACAGAAAUGAUAAAUUACUCCCUGCAGGUGAUAGUGAUAAUGAUAAUUUUUAAUUUCCUUCUUCCUCAUAAGGCCUAGUCUGAUCUUAUUUCAUUGGUUGCCAUCCUAUUACAUACACUUGAUGUGUCCUCUCUAAAGAAAUACGCGUCACGUCAAAAUACAUGAGAAAGUCAUUUGUUUUUAUCCCAAAUCAUUGUUCUUCAAAUGAGUGUAUACUAAAUGAACUGCAUUUACCUUUAUACAUAUAAACAAGCAAAACAUGGCUUAAAACAGAUUUUUUCAUGAUUCAGUUUACAAAUGCCAUGAGCUUUCGUCAUUUUUGUGAAAUCCACAGAGAUGAGCAACUCAUUCUAAAACUAUUCUAUACUGAGGAAUAUUUAAAAUGUACAAUAAAGUUACAUGCUUGUAUUUUCCUUUCAUUCUGUUUUCUUCUAUCAUUGUUUUUGUUUUAUUAUUAAUUACACUCAUUGUCCCUUCUCUCACUCUAAGGAACUUUUAUAACUGAAAUUUUUAGUUGUAAAAUUUUCUGUCUGUGGUAUAAUUCAGCGGAAUUUUAUUUAAUUGUGACCUUGUCUUUGCAGAUUAAACCAGCUCCUACAGAUACAUUUUAAUCCUUUUUUUCCCUCAGCAGUUCUCAUUGCCCUGACAAGAUAGGGAUGUGAGACAAAGAAGAAAUUUCUUUGUCUGUAGUCAGCCUUCAAACCUUUCUGAUCUUUUACAAGCACAUAUCAGGUUGUAGCUCCAGUUAUUUAUUGCCAUUGCCUAUUAGUCACUAUUUCCUAUGACUGUUUAUUGUUAUAUGUGAAUGACCUCCACAGAGAGAAUGUAUAUUCAUUGAAAUUAACAUCUAAAAGAUGUAAAGAUAGGCCGUCAAAGUGAUGGUAGCAAGGUGGCCAAACUGUAAUUGAAAAUAGUGGCAUGUUUAUAUUCUUCUGACAAAAUGAAUCAUUUUAUUCCUGAAUCAGAUAGUUUGGUUAUAUCAUUAUUCCUUAUUUUUAAAUAGCUUUGCAGAAAUAAAAACUCUAAUCAUAAUUCAUUUGGUUUUAUGUUACUCUGUUUCAAAAUUUUUUUUUCCUUAAUCUCUUUUAAUUAAGAAUUAGUGGCAUGCAACUGUAGUCCCAGCUACUCAGGAGGCUUAGGCAGAAAGAUCCCUUAAGCCUGGGCACCAUGGCGGGACUCCAUCUCUAAAAUUAAAUAAAGUUUUUUAAAAGAAUCACUUACACUGAAAAGGAAAAAAAACACACACACACACCACAAACCCUGUCUCUGUAAAGGGCAUUCUAAAUCAUGUUGGUGUUUGAGGGUAAAUGCCCAUUUUAAAACCAGAAACUCCCUUUUUUUCAGAGCAAAAAUCUUCCCCUUUCUCAGCUAUAUGACUGCUGUCUAACAAGUAGAUAGAUUAUCUGCACACAGUUUUGAAUUUCAGGUGAAUUUUUUCCUAAUUUCUCCUCAUGCUUCUAUGGAACUGAUUUAGUAUUAGUGUAAACCAAACCUCAUUAGAAAUGUAACUGUGCUUGAGUAGUCAAAGAUACCAUGAUACAUUUCACAUAGAUGCAAUUUCAGAUUUUUGUCAUAGAUCCUUUCCAGUGCUUAUAAUGAAGUUAACUAUAUCUUUCAUUUUUCUUUGUCUUAAAACUUAAGAUUUCUUUCACUGUAUUAUUUAAGAACUGGAAAUUUUUAAGUGAAGUUCAUACACAGAUUUGGAGAUUGAUUAAUAAGCAUGUGUGGGUUUGGUGGCUCACACCUGUAAUCCCAGCACUUUGGGAGGCCCCUCCAAAAAAUGUGGGGAAAAGUAAAUCCUAGUAAACUAGUAUGAGCUUUUGUGAAAAUAAAUUUGGGUUUAAAAGCAGCUUUUGUAACAUAUUCAAAUAUAUGAAGAGAAACAUUUCUAAUUCUCAUU